rnacentral:rRNA from 1 species
CCUACGGGAGGCAGCAGUGAGGAAUAGUGGUCAAUGGGCGCGAGCCUGAACCAGCCAAGUAGCGUGAAGGAUGACUGCCCUACGGGUUGUAAACUUCUUUUAUAAAGGAAUAAAGUGAGGCACGUGUGCCUUUUUGUAUGUACUUUAUGAAUAAGGAUCGGCUAACUCCGUGCCAGCAGCCGCGGUAAUACGGAGGAUCCGAGCGUUAUCCGGAUUGAUUGGGUUUAAAGGGAGCGUAGAUGGGUUGUUAAGUCAGUUGUGACAGUUUGCGGCUCCACCGUAAAAUUGCAAUUGAUACUGGCAGCCUUGUGUACAGUUGAGUUAGGCGCACUUCGUUGUGUAGCGG